rnacentral:rRNA from 1 species
GAUGAACGCUGACAGAAUGCUUAACACAUCAGCAAUUGAUUGGUGGCGGACGGGUGAGUAACGCGUAAAGAACUUGCCUCACAGCUAGGGACCACAUUUGGAAACGAAUGCUAAUACCUAAUACUGUGAGAGAGCUUUGCGUCCCAUUAGCUAGUUGGGGAGGUAACGGCUCACCCAGGCGAUGAUGGGUAGCCGGCCUGAGAGGGUGAUCGGCCACAAGGGAACUGAGACACGGUUAAAAAGCCACGGGAGGCAGCCGUGAGGAAUACUGGUCAAUGGAAGGAGUCUGAACCAGCCAAGUAGCGUGCAGGAUGACGGACUAUGGGUUGUCAACUGCUUUUGUAUGGGAUAGCGGACCAUACGAAUAAGGACCGGCUAAUUCCGUGCCAGCAGCCGCGGUAAUAC